CCUAGCACGAUUAGUUAAGAAUUUAUGCAUAACUAGUGUAGUAAUCCGUGCAAUAUAACGGGUAGAAUAAUUAAAAAAAUAAAAAAAUGACGACAAAGGAAGUGAAAACGGUAAUGAAAAAAGCAACGAUGUGGGAUGGGAUUCAUCUUGUUAAUGAAGGAAGGUAACAGCAGAAGGACGAGAAAUAAUUACACCUAAUGCAGAGGUGUGACCCGAUUUGAUUCAAGCAAAAAAGAAAAAAGAAAAUUCCGAUUCGUUUCAAGCAAAAAGAAGAAAAUUUUAGCUGGUUCCGGGUGAAGUCCACACUCGACAGUGAUUAGUUCGGUUCAAGUAAAAAAAAAGAAAAAUACGGUUUAAAGAUGAAAACAUGUGGGGUGUGUUUGGAUUGAAGUCGGAAUCGAUAUCGGAGUCGGAAUGAAAAUAACAUGGAAACGAAAUCGGAAUGAUUUAUUACCUCAUUCUUUUUGGUUCGCCACUUGAAUCGGAAUCGAAAUGAACCGUUUUUAUUGUCGGUGUUUGGUUUAAAUAUAUAUCAGCAACGUAAUCAAAUUAAUAUAUUAAUUUUAUCUUUAUAAUACAUUAGUUUAAAUUCAAACUGAAAAUUAAAUAUUAAAAAUUUACGUCAAAAUUUUAAAAUGAUGUCAAAAUUUUAAAUAUAUUUUUAAAAAAAUUUAAAAUUUGAAAUUUAAUGGAUAAUUCAAAAUAUAAAACUAAAUUUUGAUUUAUGUAAAUUUAAAUUUAAAAUUAUAAUUUCAAUUUCAAUUUCAAUCCAUAAAUUUAAUUUAAAUUUUAAAUAAAAUUUGAAUACAACUUUAGAUUUUAAAUUAAAUUUAAAUUUAAAUUUAUAAAUUAGAUUCGAAAUGCUUGAUUGAAUUUUAAUUUUCAAUUUAAGUUCAAAUUAAAAUUAAAAUUUUUAUAUAUAAUUUUUAAACUUAAACUUAAUAAGUUUUAAUUAAAAAAAGUUUAAAAAGUUAAAUUUAAUCUGAAUAAAUUCAUUCCGCCCGGAUUUAAUUUUCAAUCCAGGCGGAAUGGAAAUCCCGCAUAUCAAAUAUGGACAAAUGGAUUCGUUCAUUCCGAUUCCAAUUUCAUAGUGAAAAAGGGGCGAACCAAACACGCCCGUGGAGUAGUUGGGCCGGUUCGGCCCAAUGUAACAGGUUAAUCUAGUUUGGUUCAAGCAAAGAAAGAGAGAAAUCAAGUUCGAUUCAAGUAAAAAGAAAUAGAGAAAAAUAUAUAAAACACUUGAGCGAGUUUGGAAGAGUCCAAACUCAAUAAUGAUCGGUUCGAUUCUAUUCAAGAAAGAGAAAAAUUCGGCUCAGUUCAAGCAAAAAACAAAAAGAAGCGGAGAACUUGAGCCUGUUCAAGGUGAAACUCAUAUUCAAUUAUGAAAGAAAUGUUGUCAUGCUGCAAUUUUAAGACGAAUAAUGUAUAAAUAAAGAUAUAUAUAUAGAUAUUCAAAAUUUCACGAUCGAAAUCUAAUUUUUUUUAUAUUUCUAGCUGAUUUCUCUA
rnacentral:lncRNA from 1 species